GACCGCGCGGGAUCUCUUCCUGUGAUUUUGAGCUGAUAGCUGCUUAGUGUUAUUUCUGCGUCUAACUGGAUACGGUAGUCUUCUCUCCCAAAUUCCCGGGCUACGGAAGAGACGUAAAAAAAUGGAAAAAAGAGCACCUAGCCGCGACUUCUUAAGUCGUCGCGCUAGACUGUCAAGGCACGUGGCACACUCCCUGCGUUUACCGAUACACGGAUAGUGGUCAGUGCUGGCCUUGGCGAAGGGAGCCAUGUUCCCGACAGUGACUCACAGGCUUGCCCAAAUACGGAGUGUGGCAGGUGGGCAGGACCUCCACCAGCCAGCUCCCUCCUGGUCUCCUUGAACUACGUGGGGGCUGGGCCGAGUGCCUCCACGACUUUCCACUUCUUUUUGCUCCUUUCGUUUUUAAAAAGCAAAAACCAAAGUAAAGAGAAGAGCAGAGUGAACACCCAGGUACCAUCCCUAGUGUCUGCCAUGAGCAGCAGAUCUAUCUACUCGCCAAGAUUGUCUUUUCUACCUUUCCCCUUCUUGCACAGUUAAUAUCAUAAUAACGCAAGUCAUAUUUAAAAAAUUUUUAUCACCUAUCAGUUGAGUUUUUGGAAAGCCUUCCAGGGCAGCGUUGUGGUUUUGAACGCACUCUUGUUCGUGAUUUAUCUGGUAGUACAGCUCUGCUGACAAGGCUCUGAAAACUCAGACGUACAAUAUGGGCUUAGCGUGUUCCCCGACACCAUCUUCCCGGUGCUGACUAAUGCAAGAACCACAUCCCCUCCACUACACAUUUUCCAAACUUGACUACCUUCAUGAGAACAAAUCCUGAUUUUAGUUUAUAAUUUCCACUUUUCUCAUACAUAUAUAAUAAUUCAAGAUGUGGUCUUACUAUGUUGUCCAGGUUGGCCUGGAACUCCUGGGCUCAAAGGAUCCUCCGGCCACAGCCUCCCUGGUAGUGGAAUUACAGGCGCAUGCCACUGUGCCUGGCCACUUUUCUCAAAUUUACUGAUAGUUUCCUUUUUGCCCAAACCUUACAAUGCUUAUUUGUAGCUUUGAGAACCUCUCUUAGAUGAAAUCAAAAUCAUAUCCAUAUUAGUUGCCUUUUUGGGGUCAGAAAUGCAGCUAUUGUCUAGAAAUCCAGGGCUGUCCUGCAUAAUCUACCCUCCCCUUCACGUGUUCUGACCUUGUUCUGCAUUUUGAAUAAUUUCAUGGAAUUUCAAAGCCGUUGUAGUAAAUGUCUUUCUUUAAAGACAACUCGACCUUCAAGACAGGUAAAGAACGUGCCUGGAGCCACCCCAGGCAGUGAUGCUGGAGGAGUUCUCUCAACCUGGAAACUUAUUCUUUAUGCUGAAUUUUGAAAUCGAAUGCUCCUAUAUUUACUUGGAGUAUUUUAGAUUGUGUAUGUAUUAUAUCUGUGCAUCAUUCAUUGUUACCAUCUAACUUGGAAAUCAGAGGAAGUGUGAAAGGUAUCUGAGAUACCAGCUUAGAAAACAACUCUUUAGCUCCUCCUGGUGAUUAGGACACCACUAAACAACAGGAUGAAGGAUCUGUCCCCAGGGCCGAAGUGAUGAUGUAUCUAAUAUUAUAUCCUAGAACAUUCACAGAGUAGCUGCAGAAUGUCUUGAGCUGGAACAUCCCCAAGAGGCCAUAUAUAUAUCCCAGGGAUUUUACAGUGGACCUCACUAGGCCGGAGUAACUGUAAAGUCAGAUGGAUAAUGAGAAUUCAGGACGUUAGCCACACGUGGACUGUGGCAAAAAGAAAGUGACCCACUGAAGAAGACUGUUUUUCAGCUCUCUCAUCAAUUGCUGUUUCCAGGAGCCCACAGCUCCAAUUACUCAAAAGAACGUUGACUUUUUUUUUUUUGGUAAAAUAUCCUGAUUUUCAGGUUAGGCAAGCAAUUCAUUAAAAAAUAAAAGACU
rnacentral:lncRNA from 1 species